ensembl:lncRNA
CACCGUCUUCCUGAGUGGAGAAGCAUACGUCACAGUCUCUGUUCUGCCUCCGCUGGUGAAAGCCCUGCAGAAGUUCACGCAGACAGUCUUUGAGUCCGCUCCCGUCACCACCUUAUAAACAGCAGCCGCAGCAGAGAUUGCUUCAAGAUGGAAGAUUGAGACUACAUAUAAUGAAGAAGGGAAAAAUGUGUGCAUCUUCGCCGCGGCCCUUGAUCCGAGAUUCCGAAAACUCAAGUUCCUGUCCACAGAAGACAUCCUGAAGCAUCAUCCACACCACCAUCUCCAAACUCCAGACUCAACACCACAGUGCCCUCAUCAUCAAGUCGGGAGACUUUAACCACGUCACCUUGGAUAGAGUUCUGCCGACCUUCAAACAAUACGUGAGCUGUCAUACCAGAGAGGAGAGGACCCUGGACCUGAUGUUAACAUCAAGGAUGCAUACAUCUCCUCUUCUCUCCCCCCUUUGGGCAGGACAACUGCUAUACUUACGACACCCCGAACUCUGAAGCAGCGUCGUCCCGCCAAGCAGCCUCCCUCCUCUCGGGCUCCCAAGAAGAGGCUCUUCUCGCCCGCUCCUGAUGCCGCCCCCCUUGCUGGAGUCACCCCUGGUGCCACCUCAGCUGCUCCUCCCACCAUCACCUGGCCCGCUGAUGGAGUCACCCCCACCUUGGGUCCAGUGUGAUUUUUGCUAUAAGUGGUCGCAUGAGGCUUGCACCGACGGGAGUACACAC